GUGCCAGCAGCCGCGGUAAGACGAACCGUCCUAACGUUGUUCGGAAUCACUGGGCUUAAAGGGCGCGUAGGCGGAGCGGAAAGUCAGGGGUGAAAUCCCAUAGCUCAACUAUGGAAGUGCCUUUGAUACUGCCGUUCUCGAGGGAGGCAGGGGAGCGCGGAACUUCCGGUGGAGCGGUGAAAUGCGUAGAUAUCGGAAGGAACACCGGUGGCGAAAGCGGCGCUCUGGUCCUCAUCUGACGCUGAGGCGCGAAAGCCAGGGGAGCAAACGGGAUUAGAAACCCCAGUAGUCC
rnacentral:rRNA from 1 species